rnacentral:rRNA from 1 species
CAAGUCGAACGAGACCUUCGGGUCUAGUGGCGCACGGGUGCGUAACGCGUGGGAAUCUGCCCUUAGGUACGGGAUAACACAGGGAAACUUGUGCUAAUACCGUAUGAUGACGAAAGUCCAAAGAUUUAUCGCCUAAGGAUGAGCCCGCGUAGGAUUAGCUUGUUGGUGAGGUAAAGGCUCACCAAGGCGACGAUCCUUAGCUGGUCUGAGAGGAUGAUCAGCCACACUGGGACUGAGACACGGCCCAGACCCCUACGGGAGGCAGCAGUGGGGAAUAUUGGACAAUGGGCGAAAGCCUGAUCCAGCAAUGCCGCGUGAGUGAUGAAGGCCCUAGGGUUGUAAAGCUCUUUUACCCGGGAAGAUAAUGACUGUACCGGGAGAAUAAGCCCCGGCUAACCCCGUGCCAGCAGCCGCGGUAAUACGGAGGGGGCUAGCGUUGUUCGGAAUUACUGGGCGUAAAGCGUGCGCAGGCGGUAAUGUAAGACAGAUGUGAAAUCCCCGGGCUCAACCUGGGAACUGCAUUUGUGACUGCAUUGCUGGAGUGCGGCAGAGGGGGAUGGAAUUCCGCGUGUAGCAGUGAAAUGCGUAGAUAUGCGGAGGAACACCGAUGGCGAAGGCAAUCCCCUGGGCCUGCACUGACGCUCAUGCACGAAAGCGUGGGGAGCAAACAGGAUUAGAUACCCUGGUAGUCCACGCCCUAAACGAUGUCAACUGGUUGUUGGGUCUUCACUGACUCAGUAACGAAGCUAACGCGUGAAGUUGACCGCCU